rnacentral:lncRNA from 1 species
GAUUGUUCAUGAGAAAAUUUUCGUUGAAACUUUUAAAAUUGUAAUAGUUGUAAAGUAAUUUCAUGGAAGUAAAUGAGAAAGAAAGGAAAAGAAAAGGAAAAAUUCAAAAAUUCUUUCUAUUUAAAAUCAUAAGAAUCAUAACAAACCUAAUAUUAAGAGUGAUGACCAGUCUGUUUUACUGAAUCUUGUGAUUAUUAGUGUAGUUUUAUUACUUAUUUUUGUUGCCUAAUGUACUAAAUGUAAACUUUUUGAGUAGUGAAAUGUAUGUAUUAAUUGUUUCUAACUUUUAAUUAUUUUCAUUUUUUUACUAAUACAACUUAUAUACAUGUAUUCGGGGUAGUUAUGGGGAUAAAAGAUUCAUCUCUCUCCUUAAAAUACUUUUUUAAUGUUACUUUUUCUGAUUUGGACUAAUUUUGUUACUAAAACGUUAACCUCAAGGAGGUUUCUGAAAUUAUCCCCACACAAAUAUACAAGGGUGUGUGUAUGUGAGUAUGCACAUACAAAUACACAUAUAUUAUGUGCGUGUAAUGUUAGACAAUGAGUUUUUUCAGUGUCAUUUUAUCUGAUGUUUGGAUAGCAAAUUU